UUAGUUGCCGACUUUGGUUCACUUUUUUCAACAAAAUUUGCAUUUUAGUUUUUCAGAUUAAGGCCAGCAAUUUCUUGACACAAAACAACAAAAUACGAAUCCAUUACAAAAUAGGUGGGUUAGUGACUAGUUUAAAGUCUAAACUGGUUCGGGUUAGUCUUGUGUCAACUAUGUGAAUACGUUUAGCUAAACAGGUCAACACUGUUGGGUAUAAUCUUGACCGGGUCAAAGUUGGGUGAAUGGCAUGGCAAGUGUCACACAUAUGGACUCAUGGGCAAUCAGAUAAAAAGUCAUGAAAUUGCCAAUUAAGCCAUAAUCCCAACUUGUUUGAUUGCUAAUGUAUGUUCACAGAGGCAGAUUGAAGCCGUAUACAAGAUACCCGAUGAUUUACAAGUUCCCUAGAUUUUCUGUAUU
rnacentral:lncRNA from 1 species